rnacentral:lncRNA from 1 species
GGUCACCCUGUUUUCAUCCCGCUGAAGACUGCCCUCUUUCUUCUAGCUGAAUCACCAGUAACAGUGCAAAUGCAAGCACAGAAGGAUGGCGAUGGGCUCAUAACAACCCAAAACACUGGCUGGGGGAGGUACAGCCAUGCACGCAGACGUGUACUUGUGUGUGGAGAGGCCAAAGGUCAAUGUCUUAUAUGAUUCCUUUCCCCCUUAUUUUUUGGAGACAGGGUCACCAACUUGGCUACACUGGCCUGUCAGUGAGUCAGGGCACUGCUUGUCUCUGCCCACCAGAGCUGGGAUUACAAACUGCAGCCAUACUUGACACGUGGCUUUUUCGAGGGAUUGGAACUUGGGUCUUUACGCUUAUGUGGCAAAUACUUUACUGACGAAAGCACCUCUACCCCGCCUCCCAAAACACUUAUUCUUUACAUUGUGCUUCACCCAUGCCUUGAGCUCCUGCCUAAGUGUCACCUGUCCUGGUGGCAUAUUAUGAUUGAUUAGACCACUACUUCCUUUCUAUAAGUGUAUUGGAAAGUUUAGAUCUGUUAGAAAAGCUGGGGGGUAUUGUUUGUUUGUUUUCUUUUGGCCUGUCCUCCUCAUCAUUAGCUAAAGAAUUUUUUUUUAAUGUAAGUAUAUUAUUAAAUAAACUCACCAGAGAGGCCCAAGACUAAUACUGACCCACGAGUGCCACAAAGCUGGUCUGUGGGGACAGAAGUGAAGCCCGGCAUGACAAUGCACACCUGUAGCAUCUGCUCUCAGGAGGCUGAGGCUGGAAGGUAAUGAGUUUGAGGCUAACCUGGGCUACAUAGUGAGACCCUGUCUAGAAACAAAAGAAAUGGAACCUUGUACCUCUGUGAUAGUGUAUACCAUGUCUUACAAAGCAUAUGCCUCGAUUUUACUUUGCAGCCAUCUUCCCAGGACCGGCCUGGCCAGUCCUUGCUUGCUCCUUCCCUUUCUGGCUUUUCCCUUCUCUUCUCCCUCCCCACUCUUCCUCAUGCUGGUGUCAGCAACAAAGCUGGCUACCCUUCUCCUCUGAGUGGUAUAAUUUGGGGUGAGAACUGUGGUCUGAAUCUCAGGAUUGCAGAUGCAGCCUUCUCUCCUCCUCGUUUCAGCUCCUAUCAGGUUUCCCCCACGUUCGGUGGUGAUUCCCAUUGCACUGGAAGAGACUGGAGCAAGCGAGCCAGGGAAAAACAUGAGAGUUGGUGCGAGGGAAGAAAGGCUGGGACAGGGUUUUUCUGUGCAAGGACUGUGUUUCCUGUUUGCCGAGUUGCUUUUCCCACAACAUGCAAUGUUUGGCUAGCAAAGCCGCCCGUAAUGAGGGCCGUCUGUGCCAACUCUUAGGCUGUUUACUGCCAUGCAUGUGUGUCCUCGGCAGCUUUCCGGUUCUUCCUCGGAAUUUGUGAACAUGUUAAAAUAUGUUGCUAAUAACUACCCUCCGGAUGAUAACAUGUGCUGCUGAGGUUUAGACUGUCACACCCGGAAGCAGGCAAUGCUGAUGGUAACAGCAUUCACAACAAGCAUGCUUUGUCACAGUGUCUCUUCCCCACUGUCAAGCUUUAGUCCCUCCCCCUCCUCGCAGUAUACUCUGUUUAUUCAGAAAUUGGUGACAAUGAAGUACCAGGCACAUACAGUUGUAGCUUCUGGGAUGAUUGCAGUUGUGUGGACACACAUAUCCCUGUCACCACAAAUCUUAUACGGCAGGAUGAGGUGGCCAUACAGGGGUGGGAAGAUAAUGUGAGCUAUAUUGAAUAAAUUGCAUAUUGUAUCCGAGAGGUUCUAUUCAGUUCUUUACUGUCACAAAAACUAUCAUAGACGAGGUGGCUUUCAACAACGGUUUCUUCCAGUUCUGGAGGUUGGAAGUCCUAAAUCAGGGUACCAAGACAGGGGGGUUCUGGUGAGGGCUGCCCUCUGGCUAUGCAGACAGAUGGCCUCACCUCUUAUUGUAUCCUCAUGUGGAGAGAGAGGGCCGGGGGAGAGAGCAGCAUGCUUCACUCGUGCCAGCAAGCACAGUGGGAAGCAUGCCAUCAGCCGGAAUCAGCUGAGGAAUACGCACAGAGCGGGCAGCCUUUGACCAGUGUGCUCGGGUGAGCAGUUCCUUCCUGCUCUUCUUGAUUAGAAAAGCGAUCCGCACUUGGAUUCUUUACUGGCUUCCUUUCCCAACUGGGUCUCUGAAGUGUUGAGACCCUGCCUACCCCAUGAACAGCAGAAAUCUGUGCAGGAUAAUAGGGAUGGAAAAAUACAACUGCUCUCCUGCUCAGAUCUAGUCAUUAGGGCUCCAUCCUCACGACCUGAUGCUCCCCCACAAAUGAUCCCAGUCUCCAAGUACAUUAAGGGACGGGGCUUCAACAAAUGAGUGGUGGGGGUACUGUGCAAUCAUGGGGUCCGUCAGAGAAAACAUGUGCUUUUGGAGCUAAAGACAGCAAAGACAAGAGAUAGCAUGUGCUGGGAAAGUGGGGACAGUGUGGGGGUUUAUACUGUGUGAUCAGGUUGAGAGGGGACCCUAACAAAGCAGUUGGAUGGGGUCAGGGGGAGAGGUGGGAGCCAGGGCAGGGAUGAGCCAACCUCUGGCGCUACAGUGAACUUCAGCUUGAUCUCAUUUAAAAGUUCUUCUAGCUGGUGAGUGUCAUUAUCUGUCUAAUGUGGACUGUGUCCUAUAAAAAUGACUUUUGACCAGACAUGGUGACCAUUGGCCUGCCACCCCAGCACUUGGAAGGUUGGGAUAGGAGGACUUUGAGAAUCUGGUUGCAUAACAAGACCCGAUUUCAAGCAGAAAGAGUCUUCUGCCUUACCUCCGUUGGCCUUUCGCCAGUGGGUGUGCCAUCAGCUCUGUUGGGCUCCACGGCUGGUUUCUCCCACAUAGUUCUGCUGGUUGCCAGCAGAGAGCAAUUCUGUUUCUGAUCUUCACUCUCUUGCACUGAUUUCUGCCACGUCAUCUAUGGGUAGGAAGGUCGAUGACAGUUUGGAGCCCACAUAGGGAGGGAGCCCCAGGGGAAAGUAACCAGGUAUUCGUUGUUAGAGUGCUCAAGGCCUUUGAAAACUGCUGCCUAGCCUUUAAGUCCAACACUUGAAAGGUAGAGGUGGGUGGAUCUCUGAGUCCAGCCUGGAGUGAGUUCCAGGAUAGGACAGCCAGGGCUACACAGAAAAACCUUGUCUCC